rnacentral:pre_miRNA from 7 species
GAGAGAGUGCGAUGUUGGCACGGUUCAAUCAAAUCGCCGGCCGGGUUGACUUGUUGAUUGAGCCGUGCCAAUAUCACAACCUUCUCU